CCCACCCAACCCAUUUUUAAAGUCGUCAAACUGUUGGUCACGCCAACAGUGAUUUCUCCUAAACGAAAAGUGCUAGGCGUCUGAAAUUUUCUAAGUGAUAUAUGUAAUACAAAAGCUAUGCAAUGACCUAUUAUUUUCCAGAUAUUCUAAUGCUUUCAUAUAUUUUGGCCUUUCUCAAAAUUGGUAAGAAAAAUUCUCCAAGAACAUGUUGUCUAAAGGCUCUAAAUAUUGUUUGGGGUAGACAAACAGGAAAAUAAUA